CUAUGAGCUAGUACCAACUUUCCCUCACUGUAAGGAGAUCACCUCUGUGUUUUCCCAGGGGAAAUUGCUCUUUUAAAGUCACGGUGUCCUCCCCUUGGUUGACACGAGUGCAGGGGGAAGACCAGCCCCUGAGCUCACCCCAGAGCUUCCUUGCCAACACCAUACCCAAGGCUGCCCCUGAGAUGGGCACUGUGGACACCAUAAAGAUGUUUGCAGGCAGCUCCUGCAGAGCAUGGAAAUGGAACCCAACAUCAGCUGCCAUCGCCCUGCACCCCAAAAGAACAUCACUUCUGCCCCCCUUCUACACGCACUGGAAUCCAAAGCUGUCUGUGCAGUGUCUGCAGCUCAUGGCUGGGGGACUUGUCGCAGUUGCCUCUGGUGUGACCUCAAAAUAUGCCUAGUUUUGGCUCUGGGGUUCACUCACAGUCUGUGGCCUCCUUUUUUGGGGGCGGGCAGAGUCCUGUGAGGGAUCCAGCCCUUCCCUGCAUCUCCACCGAAAGCCUCUGAGCUCGAGACAUCUGCGGGGUUGGAGAGUUUCCCGAGGGCUGCGACAAGUGGGAAGAUUCACAUCCCAAGGGACACACGACGUUUCAUUUCCUCUGUAUUUUUUCUCAAAGUUCCUCGCCACAUUUACAGAAUGGACUUCCC